rnacentral:rRNA from 1 species
UACGGGGGGGGCAAGCGUUGUUCGGAAUUACUGGGCGUAAAGCGCUCGUAGGCGGAUACUUAAGUCAGGGGUGAAGUCCCGGGGCUCAACCCCGGAACUGCCUUUGAUACUGGGUAUCUCGAGUCCGGAAGAGGUGAGUGGAAUUCCGAGUGUAGAGGUGAAAUUCGUAGAUAUUCGGAGGAACACCAGUGGCGAAGGCGGCUCACUGGUCCGGUACUGACGCUGAGGUGCGAAAGCGUGGGGAGCAAACAGG